rnacentral:rRNA from 1 species
UACGUAGGUGGCAAGCGUUGUCCGGAUUUACUGGGCGUAAAGAGCGCGCAGGCGGUCGGAUAAGUCGAAUGUGAAAGCCCCCGGCUCAACUGGGGAGGGUCAUUCGAUACUGUUCGACUCGAAGGCAGGAGAGGGAAGUGGAAUUCCAUGUGUAGCGGUGAAAUGCGUAGAGAUAUGGAGGAACACCAGUGGCGAAGGCGACUUUCUGGUCUGUAACUGACACUGAGGCGCGAAAGCGUGGGGAGCAAACAGG